rnacentral:rRNA from 1 species
GACGGAGGAUGCAAGCGUUAUCCGGAAUUAUUGGGCGUAAAGCGUCCGCAGGUGGCCGUUCAAGUCUGCUGUCAAAGACCGGGGCUUAACUUCGGAAAGGCAGUGGAAACUGAACAGCUAGAGUAUGGUAGGGGCAGAGGGAAUUCCUGGUGUAGCGGUGAAAUGCGUAGAUAUCAGGAAGAACAUCGGUGGCGAAGGCGCUCUGCUGGACCAUAACUGACACUCAGGGACGAAAGCUAGGGGAGCGAAUGGG